GAGGGUAUAGCUCAGUGGUAGAAUAUAUGCCUUGCACAAGGUCCUGGGUUCAAUCCCCAGUACUUCCA
rnacentral:tRNA from 1 species